rnacentral:lncRNA from 1 species
UAAAAAGUGACCAUGGGUGAUAGGCUAAGCAUGUAAAGAGAUCAACCAGUUGGCAGUUGGGUAAGUUACCUACAAAAUGUAUUAUGGAAUGGGAGGUGGAGGAGUAUAAAGUUAUUAAAACCUGGCUGUAGAAUCCACGUACUUUGGACAUGGUUUAACAGUAACUGAAAUAUAGAGGUGACUGGAAGGACCUUUUCUAUCUGUAGGACAAACAGAAAUGCUCUGUGAACAGUAAGUGAAGCUGGAGCUACAAAAGCAUGAAGCCCUUGGAGGGAGGCAUCGGGGGCUCAGGACAUCUGCAGAAAAAGUUAAAAAUGAGUCAAUAUGUGAAAAAUCUGGAUGUGUUCUAAAGCCUUCUGAAGACAUCAAAAGCCAAACAUCGUAAGAAAAGGAAUAAACAAAAUAAAAAGAACAUUUCAAAUGGGCUUAAAGCAUUGUUUUAGAGGUGUGAAUAAUGAAGCCAAGGACAUUAGCAACAUCAUGAAAGCACAGACAUUGCAAAAUGUCACUGAGGAAAAAGGACUCAGCAUAAAAUAUCAGCUUAUAAAAUCACUGGGAAAUUUCCAUUAUGUUAGACCUUGGAGAGGAGAUCUAAGAUCUACACCUUGAUAUUAAAGCUAACACAUACUUGGAGACAUUCACAGAAGAUAUAUGUACAAGUCUAUAUUACCUUGGGUAAAUACCCUUCUAGAACAAUUUUGUUUAUCUGUGUUUUCUGAUUUAUAGUGAUGGCUUGAUUUAAAUCUAUGGGUGUCAGGACUGCUUUCUCUGGCUUUUGGGCUCCAGCCCAUAUUGCAUCUCUACCAAGACACUCCAAAGUAUCUACUGUGUUACUCUCUAGGGGUGGUACCUUUGGAACGGCUCUACCUUCACCACAUGCAUAAAGGAAUUCUGACUACCGCUGAGCUCAUGCUGAAUAUCCAGAAGCAUGAUGUGAGCCCACCACAGCCUGACUGCCAGGCUCUUAUGUGAGCAGGGAUGAAAAUAAACAGCAGCACUCUCAAGUCUGCUAA